ACAAGUUGCCCCCACCUACCUUCGUUCUAUCGUGUGAUCCCUGAUCCAGAUUCCUCCUAUUCGUCUCCGUCCUCGCCGCCUCAACUACGCCCCGUGAUCUCGAUGUCGAGGACUUCCCCAUCUCUCCAGCACCUCCCUCCACUCCCACCCAGACAAAUCCAGGAUACGCCCCCAAAUGCCAACCCUGCGGCAUCGACGGAGCGUGACAAUGUCGACCGCCCGGCGAGGCGGCGACUUGCCGGACUAGAUGGUGCGGAACCUUCUAGAGCAGGAGAGUCUUCAUCGGAGGCAAGACCACCUACAGCUCCUUCAUCUCCAUCCUCGUAGCCGCCGUCAGCUUGUUCGUGCUUGUCCACCGAUUCUGCCAGUAACACAUCCUCGCCAAGGACUUCUCCAACCUCAACGCCAUGGUAAUUUUGUAUUCUCUCGCCUCUCUCUUUGCUUGCUGCCAGUUCACUCGAUCAGCCUAGGUUGUUGGUAUUUGCGAGACAGGCAAACACUCAUGCUGGCUAUUAAAAUGGAGACUUUCAAUUUUGGGUGUUUUCAUAGGUAUGUGGUACUACUUUGUGAUAUGUGGCUGGUUGAUGAACGCUGUAUAUUCCCAAUCCUUUGGAACAGAGAUUCUACUUGCGUUGGUUAGAUGCUGGAUUUCAUCUUAUACCUUCCUUGGAAGGUGACAACAGAAGAUAAGGUCUGCGACUGGAAAAUAAGUAUGCUGUUUGGGCAUUUUCAUUUUAAUAUGUUCUGCUGAUGACCGAAUUUGUGUGAAGAUUAAGGUGUCUACCUUGUAGAAAAAAAUACCAAUCAUCUAGCAAUUUCCUUUAAGUAUUAUAGUAUUCCUGAUCCACCGUUGUGGUUGUUGGCUUGCGCCGUUGUGUAUGUACACGCUAAUGACCAGCUGGCCGCAGCUAAUUACUCAUUAUCCCAUAUGUUAAUGAACUAGGAUGAAAUUAGAUAAUCCCAAAGCCAACAAGCAAUAGCGCAUGUACGAUCGUGGCUGGCUUAUUUUGAUCGAUGAAUCGAUCAGAUCAUGACCUAUGUAUAUGCAUGUUCAGCACUUUCACCGGCUGGAUAUAGUAACUUCAGUUCAGAUUUGAUUGUGGCUGUCAUCCUAGAGUGUAGUAGCAGCUGCUGCUAGCAGCCUAACGCUGGAGCACUUGGUGUAGCGCCGCGGCAUUGGUCUUCACAACAGUGUGUUUGCUGCGCACCGUCUUCCACGACGCGUUGAUCUUCAGAGUCUUUGAACCUGGCGUCACAACUCAUGUGAGUCAACCUUAAACUUAAGGUAUAUCAUUACAAAUUUAUAUUGUUGUUAGGACUUUUAAAGAUUGCCAGUCAGUGUUUUUGUUCAAUCUACUUAAAUGUGCUAGCAAGUGCUUGUGAAAUGAAUCCAUCAUUCUUUACAGGACAAAAAUUUCCUACAUAUUCAUCUUUGGGAGUAGGGGUGCAGAGCGGCGUGCCGUGAAGUCCCAGAAAAGUGCCCAGCUAGUGCAAAAUACUCUAACGCACUCUGAUCAAGCUAAAACAGAAUUUUCUCAUUUUGAACCGGAAGUGGGGCGGAUCGGGCACCGCCCUGCAUCCCUAUUUGGGAGAAAGUUCAGGGCAUAUAUAGCGGGCUACUUCUGUAGAAGGAGAGUUGAGUGCUAUGGCUGGGACUGUAAAGAAGUGUUCAAAUUAUGAUAGAUCAAAGCCCUUCACAGGUGAUGACGUAUGUUGGAUGAUGGAAUGAUUAUUCUGUUCUGGUGCUUGCUUUGACUUGGGUGUUCAGAGAAGUAAAACUUUGAACUAACAUCUUUAGUGAAGCAACAUAUUGUAUCUGAAGUGAAACUUUCUCUUUGAUAUGGAGAUGCGAGCAUCAAACUAACAUCCAUCUAAAGAUAAGAUUGCCAAUAUAAAUCAAUGAUGCAUGGCUCGGAAGUUGGUUGCAAAAUCACGAAGGUGGCUACUACUCGAUAGUUUUAGAUUAGGUUAUUAGAAUGUCAUUCAAGUCAAUGUUUGAAACAUUAUGUUUUAGAUGGCUGGCAUGUUGAUUGCAAGGUUGAGAAUCAGACUACUACUAGAUAGUUUCACAUACUGUAAUCUUUGUAUCAUGCUCUUUGUAAAGCAACCGAGUUGAUUUAAUAUAUGUGACCUUUCUAAUUAUUA